UACAGAGGGGGCAAGCGUUGUUCGGAAUUACUGGGCGUAAAGGGCGCGUAGGCGGCCUUCUAAGUCGAACGUGAAAUCCCCGGGCUCAACCCGGGAACUGCGUCCGAUACUGGAAGGCUUGAAUCCGGGAGAGGGAUGCGGAAUUCCAGGUGUAGCGGUGAAAUUCGUAGAUAUCAAGCGGAACACCGGUGGCGAAGGCGGCCUUCUGGACGAUGACUGACGCUGAGACGCGAAAGCGUGGGGAGCAAACAGG
rnacentral:rRNA from 1 species